UGCUGGUGGGAACACGGAAGUUGAGAGUCAUGAUGGAAAUGUGGACAAUGAAUGAAGUCUCUGCUCAUGAGGUUUCAGGAGAGGAUGAGAGCUAUGUUGGAAAUUCGACUAGAGGUCAUUUGUAUCACAUUCUGUCAAAGAACUGGUCUACAUUUGGCCCAUGUAGAGAAACCAUGGGAAACUAAGGCGUUCAACAGCCAAGAGACUAUGGACCUAGAUGUUUGAACAGAUGUUGUAACUAUUAAGACUUUGAGGCUCUUGGACAUG